CAGCAAUUUUCGUUUUUUUUUUUCCCCUUUUUUCUUUUUAUGAACCCUAAUUUAUUUCGUGUUUAAUUGGAAGAAAGAUCGUGUUUGGGAGAAAUGGAGAAUCGUUGUUGGUAAACAGAUAAGCCAAAAACAGUUCUCUUCCUUCCCAUGCUCGGCUACCAUCAGAUUGAAUGAAAGGGAUGACCAGCAGAGGAGAAAAAUGGACUGAUAUUUUGCUUUAAAGUUUUCCUCCAGUACUGUUGGAAUUCUAGGAAGAUGGUUGCAGUAGUUGAUGAUUGAGAUUUUGUACUCCAGCAUCUGAAGCAAUAGCACAGUUUUAAGCCUCUGUUAGAAAAGUGAGCAACUGGUUGUUAUUUACUUGACCUCCUCUACAGAAUUUUGCAGCAUCUAAUGAUCGCUGACCAGUCUAUUUAGCGUGAGAAAAAGGGGCAUGAAACAGAACAGGGAAGAGGAUCGAAAUGCAUCCUGCAACAUCACUGUCCCUCAGAUUAGAUUUUUGUGUUGCUAAGACUUUAACAUAUUCAAAUAAUCAUGCUAAGUUGGGGAACCAAAUUAUAGACUGGAACUAUAAUUCCUUACAGUAAAACACAACUGUUCGUGUUCUGUUAGAUGAAUCGGUCAUGUUCCCUUCUUUUUUUGUUGUGAGAGAGGAGUAAAAGAUGGAGGACAGUGGCUUUGAGUCGUCUGUUCUUACUGAAUGCAUGCA